rnacentral:rRNA from 1 species
GAUGAACGCUGGCGGCGUGCCUAAUACAUGCAAGUCGAGCGAACGGACAAGAAGCUUGCUUCUCUGAUGUUAGCGGCGGACGGGUGAGUAACACGUGGAUAACCUACCUAUAAGACUGGGAUAACUUCGGGAAACCGGAGCUAAUACCGGAUAAUAUUUUGAACCGCAUGGUUCAAAAGUGAAAGACGGUCUUGCUGUCACUUAUAGAUGGAUCCGCGCUGCAUUAGCUAGUUGGUAAGGUAACGGCUUACCAAGGCAACGAUGCAUAGCCGACCUGAGAGGGUGAUCGGCCACACUGGAACUGAGACACGGUCCAGACUCCUACGGGAGGCAGCAGUAGGAAAUCUUCCGCAAUGGGCGAAAGCCUGACGGAGCAACGCCGCGUGAGUGAUGAAGGUCUUCGGAUCGUAAAACUCUGUUAUUAGGGAAGAACAUAUGUGUAAGUAACUGUGCACAUCAUGACGGUACCUAAUCAGAAAGCCACGGCUAACUACGUG